UACAGAGGUCCCAAGCGUUGUUCGGAUUCAUUGGGCGUAAAGGGUGUGUAGGUGGCGCCGUAAGUCGGGUGUGAAAUUUCGGAGCUUAACUCCGAAACUGCAUUCGAUACUGCGGUGCUUGAGGACUGGAGAGGAGACUGGAAUUCCUGGUGUAGCGGUGAAAUGCGCAGAUAUCAGGAGGAACACCGAUGGCGAAGGCAGGUCUCUGGGCCACUACUGACGCUGAGAAGCGAAAGCAUGGGGAGCGAACAGG
rnacentral:rRNA from 1 species